AAAAAUCCCUCUAUGUUUGUAAAAUGCUGCAUGAACUAUUUAUUAGCAAUUCCAAACUCAUAGUCAAUCUCCAAUUCUCUAGGGAAUCUACAUUUAUAUCAUUAAUUUAGUAUUUAGUUUAUUUAUGCGGUAAUUCAACUCCAGAGCAAUUAAGAAACAAGGAGAAUGUGUUUUUAGACGCUAAUUCUUAUUUGAUGGUAUGCAAUUCAAUGGGUAAACAUCAAGCCAAUUUUCCAGAAUCUAUUUUGACAUUUCAUUCAUAUAUGGUGUGUUGGAUUUUCUAAUAUUUUCUUGUUUGUAAUACUGAAAAUCAAUGCGAAAGUAUUUAUUGGUGUAGAGUACUUAAGAAAAUAUUAAUUUUCUUUCAAAAUAUAUGUCUAUGGAAAUGUCUGAGCAUAUAAGAACUUUCAUCUUUUUUGAAGAAAUUUAAGAACCCUUUUUUUAAUUGAGGAAAAAGGGUAAAAAAUUGUGGUUUUUACUAACAACUGCCACUGAUAAUCAGCGACGGCUAAGGAUGACUAGUGGUUGUUAGUAGAUUAUGGGUAUGUAUUAAUAUGAUUUUCUCUUAGGUUCUUUUCUUUUUUAACAAGGUUGUCAAAGUCUGGAAAUAACUUAGUUUUCCCUUUAAUUGGGAAAACAUUUUUCGUUUAUCAAUUUUAUUAAGUGUUCCAAAUGUUAGAAAAUAUUUUUCAGAAAAAUAUUCUGUGAAAAAAGUUUCUUGCUGAACUCCUAGCAAACUAAUUGUCGUAAGUCAUGGUGAAAUUGAUAUUCAAGUCUUUUGCAAACCUGGCCAAGUUGGCAACUUGUGUACCAAACUUGGGAAGACUGGUGAAUCUUGUUUCAUCGGUUUGAUUUCCUGUAUCUGUUAAAUGCA
rnacentral:misc_RNA from 1 species